GCCUGGGUGGCUCAGUUGGUUAAGCAUCUGACUUAAGCUCAGGUCAUGAUCUCGUGGUUGGUGGGUUCGAGCCCCACGUCGGGCU